GAAACAAUGACUUAUUAUGAGAAGUAGUAACACAGGGGAGCGGAUUUAGCAAAACCAGACAGCUAGACAAGCUAGUUUGACAGCAAUUCGUGUAAAAACAGGACAAAAUUAUGAUUAGUACGCAUUAACAGAGCUUAAAGUCAUCUUAAUAAUACCCAGAGCCAUGUCUAUGAGGCUUGUCCUCGACGUUAAAGCAAUAUAAUCUUCCCUGACAUAUCAAAGCAGUAGCAUUUAGCCUCUGCUGAAGGCUUUGAGGCCUGGUGGUUCCUCUAUCGCCAUAACUCAGCCAGUCAAAGCGGCGUUACAGCCUGGGGUGAUUUAACUUGAACACUACUAUGGUAAAAACUAUACUCACAGUCCAAAUGUUUCUUUUUCGGGCCCAUGACUUCGUGUGUGGUGGCCUUGCAUACUGUUUUCGACACAGCGGAUCCCGUUACACUGUGCUGGGCUGCGGUGAUCCGGUCCGUAAUGCUCUGGCCCGACAUCUUCGCUCACUCUCUCUCAGUCAGUGUAGCUCACAAAAAGGGUGUUAAAAAUGUAGAGAUUAAAGUCUGUCCUCUGCUUUAAAAUAGUAAAAUAAAACCUCCACCUCCUCCGCAACCUCUACCGGCUGGACCCCCCUUGCUAUCCCCCGGCUUGGAGGAUGUAAAAUCAAAACCAGGGUAUGGCAGACCCGGACCAGGGGAGGGGGAAUAAAGAGAAGAAGCGGAAUCUGACAACAACAACAAUUUAAAAAAUGUUGGAUUGUUUCUCUCUCCGCUCCUGGGCUUCUGUACUCAGUAAUCAGGGAUUGCAGGGUCCGCUCGCUGACUCAUCCGACCCGGGUCUCUGCCUCGCUCUCAUCCCGAUGUGGCACCGGAUCCCUGCCUGCUUGCCUGCCUCCUCCGCCGCCGCUCGCCGCUCCUCCUCCUCCUCCUCUUCCUCCUCCUGCCGCCGCCGCCGCCGUUCGGCUUUAAAGCGCUAUGAAAGAAAAAGACCACUGAGUGAGGAGGGGAAAUGGCGGGCCUGCUCUACUCUGCUCAGUUUUAGUCCUUGCACACCGCCCAGCAGACCCUGAAUCAGAUCUUACAUCGCUCGGUACCCACAAGGCCCGCUAUGGCGCAGGUGUACACCCACUGACCGCAGUCCAGCUGAGGGGAGAAAACAAUGCACAAAUGCUCAGUCAGAGGGAGUCAGAGGCCUGGAUGACAGGAUGAAGCCUGCAUUGAUUGAGGAGUGGACACAGUGAAGUACCUGCCUCGGGACUACGGAUGAAAUUUAGCAUCUGCGCUAAGUACGGCGCAUUCACAUUGAUGCUCAAUGCAUUAAUGUUGAUGAAUGUGCAUUGUUCCAACUCAAUAAACAAAUAAAUUAAAAUGAAAAACGCUGA